rnacentral:rRNA from 1 species
UACAGAGGUCUCGAGCGUUAGGCGGAAUCACUGGGCUUAAAGCGUGUGUAGGUGGAUCGUUAAGUACCUUGUGAAAUCCCACGGCUCAACCGUGGAACUGCUUGGUAUACUGGAUGUCUUGAGCCACUUAGGGGCUACCGGAACAAAUGGUGGAGCGGUGAAAUGCGUAGAUAUCAUUUGGAACGCCAAUGGUGAAAACAGGUAGCUGGGAGUGUGCUGACACUGAGACACGAAAGCCAGGGGAGCGAACGGG